AGGCAGCCGUAGCCAGUAUGUAAGUGAAUAAACAUUCCUGUGUGCCAGCAAAGCUUUGUUGAUAAAAACAAACUGCAGGCUGGAUCAGAUACAGCCGUUUCCGGAGGGUGCUUUGGAUUUCAGGGUUCGUUUUCUUUGCUUGUCCUUCCUGAACCAUCUCUGCUUCUGCCAUCCGCCGGGUCACCUGCAGCAACAGGAGCUCCAAGAUAUGUCCUUUGCCCUUCGUGAACACAUCCACCAGGGUCUGGAUAAAGCACGAGCCUUUCUGAUCAUGUCGGUAGGCGAUGUAUCCUGGGAAUUCCAGAGAGGAUCCUUUUGUUCUGAAACAAGAAGAGGAGGAGGCAAAGUCAGAGAGAAAGAGCAAGUGCUGUGACGAAAGAGGAACCAAAGAUUGUGAGGGAGGAAGUGGAAGAAGCAUAGCCCUGGAGCCAGACAAAUCAGAACCAAAUCCUGCCUCAGUCCCUUCCCAGCUGUGUGCCCUUCGGCAUCUCACUCUCCUCUCUGAGACUCGAUUUUCCCAUCCGCAAAGGACCUGGGGAGAGCUCCAGGUGCGUAACAGCAGUGGCAACCCAGGUAAAUUUUAUGAUCCCUCUUGACCUCCUGGAACUUUCCUCUUCCUUUUCUGUACUCUCCCAGCUCUGCUUGUUCCUACUUGAAUUACAGCAGUGUUUUUGGUUCUUACUCUCAUGGCUGAACUGGCAGCUCAGCUUUCAGGACUGAAAGCCCGACUUCAUUGAUCUGUCUCCAUCACGGCUAAACAGUGCGGCAGGGAGCACAGAGGUGGUAUUGGAGAGAAUUUGCUGAGUAAACAAAGAAGAAAGAGAUGAACAGAUGAAAGAAAGAGUGGAUGGAUGGAAAUUUCUUCCGUUCUGCCAAAACUGGCCAGAGUGUUAAUUCAUGAAGGGAGAGGGAGCGUAUGUGUGUAUGUGUAUGUAUGUGUGUGUGUGAGGGAGAGAGAGAGAGAGCGAGAGAGAUUGAGAGAGAGAGAGAGAGAGAGCGAGAGAGAGAGGCUAAUGUCCACCAAAUCACUUACCGACUCUAGAGGCAGCUGUUCCUCAAGGCCAAGUUCAAGCUCGCUACUCUGCUAGUUGCCAGUACAGAGCUGGGCACCGAGGAGGAGUCAGGCCCACGUGCUAAUCUUGGAGAAGGGGCUGACAGUGUGGAAUCUCCCGGGGUUUCUCCUGAGAGGCCUGGUCUAUGAAUUGGGUGGCACAAUCAUCUGGCCCUUUAUUGCCAGUGAGUUUUCUAUCACCCAAGAAACCUCAGGACACACCCUUGGCACAGCUGUGGUGUGGAAAUGGAGCCACCGCCAAUGGGAUGAGUGAUCACAAGGCUGAGUGGACUCCCUCUGGCAAAGGUGGCCUAGGCAGAGCGUCUAAAUUAUCCAGAGGUCUGUGCCAGCCCAACCGCAACCUCUCCCAACCCCCAUCUCAUAGCCAGCUCAUCUGGUUAUUAUCGUCAUCACUGUGCCUAGUUUAUUCAUUUCACCUUCCACUGUGUAGAUAACACCGUCUUCACUUACUUAUUAUCUCAUGGAGUCUUCAAGAGUCUGGAGAGAUCAGUAUUGUUGUUCCUAUUUUGCACAUGGGGAAACUGAGGCUCAUAGAGGUGAAAUGACUGCUCAAAGAUCAGUAAUUGGCACAGUUGGCAUUCAAACCUAUAAGGGGUGAGGUGUGGUGGCUCACGUCUGUAGUCCCAGCUCUUUGGGAGGCCAAGGCAGGAGGAUCACUUGAG